UUAGCUGACAUUCUACUACCAACAGACAUUCCCUGUUGAAUGGAAACAUUUGGAUGCAUAUCGAAAUUACAGAGUGGACUUAACAUCUGAAUAUUCAGGGGCUUGGACCAUUGGAACGUCUUUUUUAGAGAUCUUCAUGACGCAACGUGGAAUGUUCUCAGACAACCCUUUUGUGUGGUAUUGUGAUUCACUCACUUUUUGUUGUAAUAGUAGCAGUUCCAGAAACAAUCGUGCUUGCCGGGGCAAUCGCCACUUUUGCUAGGGCUCACCGAGAUGAAGUGUGAUUUAGGCAUUAUUAACUGCGAUA